GCGCCAGACGGGGAGUUAGCGGUGCCCUAUACCUGCAAUCCGCUGCAGCAGGGUUGGAUUCCCGCCCCGAGGCUCACACUUGCGCAGCCGGCUCGGCUGCGAUCACGAUGACGGUCGGGUCCCGUGCAAUCUUCUGCCGUGAACCAUGUCAGGUCCUGACGGAAGCAGCAUUAAGCGGAACUGAGGGUGUGCCGCGGGUAUGCCUGACCCGAGUGAACAGGCCGAGCAUCGUGCGGGGGUCGUGAGUCGAAGGGUGGGUGC
rnacentral:SRP_RNA from 1 species